UACGUAGGGCGCAAGCGUUGUUCGGAAUCAUUGGGCGUAAAGGGCGUGUAGGUGGUUCUGUAUGUCUACCGUGAAAGCGUACGGCUCAACCGUAUUUAGUCGGUAGAAACUGCAGGACUUGAGGCUGGGAGGGGCUGGUGGAAUUCCCCGUGUAGCGGUGAAAUGCGUAGAGAUGGGGGAGAACACUCGUGGCGAAGGCGGCCAGCUAGACCAGUUCUGACACUGAGGCGCGACAGCGUGGGGAGCAAACAGG
rnacentral:rRNA from 1 species